AUUGAACGCUGGCGGCAGGCCUAACACAUGCAAGUCGAGCGGUAGAGAGAAGCUUGCUUCUCUUGAGAGCGGCGGACGGGUGAGUAAUGCCUAGGAAUCUGCCUGGUAGUGGGGGAUAACGUUCGGAAACGGACGCUAAUACCACAUACGUCCUACGGGAGAAAGCAGGGGACCUUCGGGCCUUGCGCUAUCAGAUGAGCCUAGGUCGGAUUAGCUAGUUGGUGGGGUAAUGGCUCACCAAGGCGACGAUCCGUAACUGGUCUGAGAGGAUGAUAAGUCAACCUGGAACGGGAACACGGUCCAGGCUCCUACGGGAGGCAGCAGUGGGGAAUAUUGGACAAUGGGCGAAAGCCUGAUCCAGCCAUGCCGCGUGUGUGAAGAAGGUCUUCGGAUUGUAAAGCACUUUAAGUUGGGAGGAAGGGCAGUAAAUUAAUACUUUGCUGUUUUGACGUUACCGACAGAAUAAGCACCGGCUAACUCUGUGCCAGCAGCCGCCGUAA
rnacentral:rRNA from 1 species